UACGGAGGGUGCGAGCGUUGUCCGGAUUUAUUGGGUUUAAAGGGUGCGUAGGCGGUCUAUUAAGUCAGUGCUGAAAUACUCCAGCUUAACUGGAGGGGUGGCAUUGAUACUGAUGGACUUGAGUACAGAUGAGGUAGGCGGAAUUGACGGUGUAGCGGUGAAAUGCAUAGAUAUCGUCAAGAACACCGAUAGCGAAGGCAGCUUACUGGGCUGUAACUGACGCUGAUGCACGAAAGUGUGGGGAUCAAACAGG
rnacentral:rRNA from 1 species